rnacentral:rRNA from 1 species
CGCGUAGGUGGCCAAUUAAGUCAAAUGUGAAAUCCCCGAGCUUAACUUGGGAAUUGCAUUCGAUACUGGUUGGCUAGAGUAUGGGAGAGGAUGGUAGAAUUCCAGGUGUAGCGGUGAAAUGCGUAGAGAUCUGGAGGAAUACCGAUGGCGAAGGCGGCAACCUGGCUCAUUACUGACGCUGAGGCGCGAAAGCGUGGGGAGCAAACAGGAUUAGAUACCCCCGUA